rnacentral:tRNA from 1 species
GGGGGUGUGGCUCAGUGGUAGAGCACUUGCCUGGCAAGCAUAAGGCCCUAGGUUCUUUCCAAAGCACCACAA